rnacentral:tRNA from 1 species
UGCCCGUUGGUCCAGUUGGCAUGGACGCCGGACUCUGACUCCGGAGACCGAGGUUCGAACCCUUGACGGGCAGCCA